GAUAUUGGGUACCUGGCUCUCGCCCGAAGACGCUGCUUUCCCAGCAAUUCACCACAGCGAAAGUCUGCCACCGCCCCCGCGCCGCAGACGGUAAAUCAGAGACUUACUCCAACCCCGAAGUGUAUACUGAAAGACUUGAUUAUCGUAAUAAAAGAACUAAAUGAGCUUGGAUUAAUUAUUGAUUUAACAUACACCAAGAUAUUAUGAAGUUAAGUAAUCUUGGAAUGGGUGUCUGGGAUUCAGAUGAAGAUGCAAAUCCCCCAACCGAUAAUUCUAUGGAAGAAUCCAGAGAAUGGCCUCUAAAUAAAGACUUUCAUGGGUAUUAGUAACAUGAUUUUAAAUGAAUAUUUUAUAAAAAUUAUGAAACAUAUUUUUAAAAUAAUAGAGUAGUGGGGGAAAUCCAUAGGAUUGGGAAUCAGGAAAUUUGGGUUCAGUGCUUAGCUCUGCCACUUACUAAUUGUAUGUGACCUAGAUAAGUGAUAACUUUUUAAGGCCACAAAUGUUUAAUUUAUAACAUAAGGAGUUGGACCAGAUCAGUUAGCUAUUCUUAUGCUAUAUUCUAAAAACACAGUGUUUCAUGAGAUAUUGUUAGUUUUACAGGAAUAAAAAGUAUUUUUUAAAGUCAAAUAAGUUUGGGAAAUGCAGCCCACUAUGACCAUGAACAUUCACUGAUUAAAAGCAUUAGACAUCCUGAAGAAACUUAUUAAAUUGUAUUUAGCCCAGCAUUUCCCCAACUUAUUUAAACACAGAACUUACUUUUUUCCCCCACAGAACAAGCAUUAUGAUAUGGGACAAUAAGGUUCUCCAAACUGGGAAAUGUUGAAAUAGAUCAUCUCUAUGCUCUUCAAAAUCUAAAAUGCUAUGAUUCUUAGUAAUAACUUGUAUUUAUUCUACCGAUAUAUCAGAAACUGAAUUAAGGUUUAUCAAAUGGUACUAGAAUCUUUUCUAUGACUUUCACAUAUAAUGUGUAUGUGUGUGUGUAUAUUUAUAAACUGACAAGACAAUAGAAAAAAAUCUUGCAAUCUUCUCUAUCUUUGAUAAGUUUCUACACUCUUUGGUGGCAUUUUUCUCUACAAAACUAAUUUCAGAAUACAUAGUACUAGUUUAAAUAUAAGAAAUCGUUUGUGUUUGUCUUUGGUUUGAUUUUUUGAGAAAAAAUGAAAUAUAUAACUUAUUUUCAAUACAUUGAGAUUAUCUACUGUGAACUAAUUUAAUACAAGUUGGAACAGACACAAUUCAGAAUUUUCUCUUUCCCAGGAGAAGGAGCACUUGAGCAGUGCCAAGCACUGUUAGGCAUUAGCCUCACAGGACAUAACGUACAGGAAGGGUGUACAGAGCUCUUCAACUUCCCACAGCACUUCAUAUUGCCUUGACACAGUUCCUUUCCCUCACACAAUCUCUGCUUUCCCAUUCUAAGGAAGGAUUUAUCUUCAACAUUGAAAAUAACUGUUAUAUUCCUGUUUCUUAUAAAUCCUUGGGAAAAUCCCUCUUAGGAGUUAGUGCCAGAGGCCGGGCACGGUGGCUCACGCCUAUAAUCCCAGCACUUUGGGUGGACGAGGUGGGCGGAUCACGAGGUCAGG